CCUACGGGAGUCAGCAGUGGGGAAUAUUGGGCAAUGGGCGCAAGCCUGACCCAGCAACGCCGCGUGAAGGAAGCAGGCUUUCGGGUUGUAAACUUCUUUUAAGAGGGAAGAGCAGAAGACGGUACCUCUUGAAUAAGCCACGGCUAACUACGUGCCAGCAGCCGCGGUAAUACGUAGGUGGCAAGCGUUGUCCGGAUUUACUGGGUGUAAAGGGCGUGCACCCGGGAAGACAAGUCAGAGGUGAAAUCCCGCGGCUCAACCGCGGAACUGCCUUUGAAACGGUUUUUCUUGAGUACCGGAGAGGUCAUAGGAAUUCCUGGGGUAGCGGUGAAAGGCGUAGAGAUAAGGAAGAACACCAGGGGCGAAGGCGGAUGACUGGACGGCAAGUGACGGUGAGGCGCGAAAGCGUGGGGAGCAAACAGGAUGAGAUACCCCAGUAGUC
rnacentral:rRNA from 1 species